GAUGAACGCUAGCUACAGGCUUAACACAUGCAAGUCGCGGGGCAGCAUGGGGGUUGCUUGCAAUCCCCGAUGGCGACCGGCGCACGGGUGAGUAACGCGUAUCCAACCUGCCCUUCACCACGGGAUAACCCGGCGAAAGUCGGACUAAUACCGUAUGUUGUCCAUUGACGGCAUCCGAUUUGGACGAAAGGUUUGGCGGUGAAGGAUGGGGAUGCGUCCGAUUAGCUGGACGGCGGGGUGACGGCCCACCGGGGCGACGAUCGGUAGGGGUUCUGAGAGGAAGGUCCCCCACACUGGAACUGAGACACGGUCCAGACUCCUACGGGAGGCAGCAGUGAGGAAUAUUGGUCAAUGGGCGUAAGCCUGAACCAGCCAAGUAGCGUGCAGGAUGACGGCCCUAUGGGUUGUAAACUGCUUUUAUGCGGGGAUAAAGUGGCCCACGUGUGGGUUUUUGCAGGUACCGCAUGAAUAAGGACCGGCUAAUUCCGU
rnacentral:rRNA from 1 species